UACGUAGGGAGCAAGCGUUGUCCGGAAUCAUUGGGCGUAAAGCGCGCGUAGGUGGCCACAUAAGUCCGUUGUGAAAGUCAAAGGCUCAACCUUUGAAAGCCGAUGGAUACUGUGUGGCUAGAGUACGGAAGAGGCGAGUGGAAUUCCUGGUGUAGCGGUGGAAUGCGCAGAUAUCAGGAGGAACACCAAUAGCGAAGGCAGCUCGCUGGGACGUUACUGACACUGAGGCGCGAAAGCGUGGGGAGCGAACGGG
rnacentral:rRNA from 1 species